AUUGAACGCUGGCGGCAGGCUUAACACAUGCAAGUCGAGCGGAGAUGAGGUGCUUGCACCUUAUCUUAGCGGCGGACGGGUGAGUAAUGCUUAGGAAUCUGCCUAUUAGUGGGGGACAACAUUCCGAAAGGAAUGCUAAUACCGCAUACGUCCUACGGGAGAAGGCAGGGGAUCUUCGGACCUUGCGCUAAUAGCUGAGCCUAAGUCGGAUUAGCUAGUUGGUGGGGUAAAGGCCUACCAAGGCGACGAUCUGUAGCGGGUCUGAGAGGAUGAUCCGCCACACUGGGACUGAGACACGGCCCAGACUCCUACGGGAGGCAGCAGUGGGGAAUAUUGGACAAUGGGGGGAACCCUGAUCCAGCCAUGCCGCGUGUGUGAAGAAGGCCUUAUGGUUGUAAAGCACUUUAAGCGAGGAGGAGGCUACUGAGACUAAUACUCUUGGAUAGUGGACGUUACUCGCAGAAUAAGCACCGGCUAACUCUGUGCCAGCCGCCGCAGUAAUAC
rnacentral:rRNA from 1 species